CUGCGUUCCGUCACUUGAGCUUUAAAUAGCAGCGAACAUUCAUUGUCCAUUCCUUUCCUGAAGAAGGUGGAAGUCGUGCUGCAUCCGAUGGUUGAUUUUGCUGGUUCUUUAGCACAUAGAAUGGAAAUGGCAAAGCUCAAGAUAUACGUGUUGUGGGAACCACCUUAAAUGCUAUGCUGAUCCUGUUUGAGAUUAGAAAUACUUAGUAUCGUGGCACCAGGGCCGGAGGAUUUGCAGGACUGACCGUCUACUGCACGCGCCUGCUGUGAGGCGGUGGGACUGCCUUGGCCUACUGUUCGGGAGUCGCUUGCUGCUGGGCUAACCUCUACAGAAUUCUCUCCGAUGAGCUGAAUUCCAUGGGAGGAGUCAUUACUACAGGUCAUUGUCUCUUGUGGAUACAGGAGCAUCUAGAAGAAGCAAGAUGUGGAUGUUCUAAAGACAUGAUGUAUAAAAAAAAAAUCGACUUUAUUGCACUUGCAAAAAUAAAACAAAACGUACAAAAUUGAA